AUGUGUAAUUGUAGAAAUACUAACCCCCUGUGAUGAGAACAGCAAUGAAAGAAUGUUCUAGAGUUUCAGGUAGUUUCUCUAGAACUGUAAGAUCACAAUGAGCUUUAGGCCGACCUUUGAGUUCAGGAAUUGGCCCGCUACCCACUGGGCCAGUUCUGUGGCUGGAGGGAACGGAAGCCCUGAUGAGUGGAAAUCACGUGGACAGCAUCGGGCAGAGAGAUCCUUCAGAAACGGCCUCGCCCACGCUCUCCUCCGACUGUGAGGACCACACAGCUGGGACCUCAAAAGCAUCUUGGAGAAUCCCGAGGCCAUGAGAGGCUGGUCUAUAAAGAUGGAGGAUCUCGGUUUUGUAAACACA